rnacentral:rRNA from 1 species
UGCGUAAUAGCUCACUGGUCAAGUGAUUCCGCGCCGACAAUGUAGCGGGGCUCAAGUACACCGCCGAAGUUGUGGCAUUCACAUAUUUUCCAAGCCUUUGUGGUUCAGGAGUGUGGAUGGGUAGGGGAGCGUCGUGUGGGCGGUGAAGUCGCGGUGUAAACCAGCGGUGGAGCCUACACGAGUGAGAAUGCAGGCAUGAGUAGCGAAAGACGGGUGAGAAACCCGUCCGCCGGAUGAUCAAGGGUUCCAGGGUCAAGCUAAUCUGCCCUGGGUAAGUCGGGACCUAAGGCGAGGCCGA